CCACACUUGCAAUCAGUGGGGCAGUUCAAAAUGGGUCCCUCUCGAUGUAGAAGAAAUAGGGUUGGCAGCUAAGUAUUCUCUGUGAGGGGACAUUCUCUGUGUGGAACAGCCAUCAUCUGUCUGAAACAGCCCAAGUCUACUGACCUUCAGGACACAUUGAGAGAGCUUCUAGAAUCUUCCUCCAGCCUGUCUUGCCUGGCUUCCUACAAUGAAUAUGAAGAAAUGGUACAUACACAUCCUUACAGUCUCUUAGCUAUGUAUCUUGGGACACCUCUUCAUGAGGACUUUGUUCAUUUGAAGACAAGGAUUGGCAGACUGUCUGAAAAAUUAGUGAGUGUGGUGAAGAGAGAAGCAAUAGAUCUGCCACAUCUUCUACAAGGAAGUACAUCUCCUGUGUCUCAUUUUUCAAUUCUGGUUGAUAAUUUUAAUAAUUCUCGUGAAAGGAGUACACAAAAAUAUAAUGACAAUUUAAAUGACAUUGCUAUGUAAGAUAAAAGCUAUAUGAACCCGUACACUUUCAAAGCAUUGCAAAGGAUUUUAGCUGUAUGACAACUCAUUAAAAUCAACAGUCAUGUGCCUAAAGGCAUCCACACUGCUUUGAAAAUGUAGAUGAAUGAGUCUUAGACUUUGUUAAUCUGUGCUUUAGAAAUGCUGAUGUUCAAAACACAUUUAGUAGUUUAAAAAAUAUUGGAGAGUAUUUUCUAAAACUUUAGACAACACCUCUGAACAAAAAAAAAGAUACAGGAAAGGCUGGGAUGGAAGCAGUUUACAUUUCUGUUAGAAGAAACAGGUAAAAGAUAAACUCAUUAGCAGCUGUGAAAAAAUGUAGAUGUAUAUAUCAGAUAUUGAAAUGAAAUGAAAAUAACUUAAAGUUUGGAAAGGCUUUGAAGAUGAAAAAUGAUAUAUGGAUGCUAAAUGAUAUAAUUAGCAUCACUGUAUUAUCUGCUGUAGAUAAGUUUCAAGUUAAUUUCCAGCUCUCGAUACACAGUAGUUCAUUUAAGGCUUGAUCCAAAGGCUGUUGAAGUAAUUGGGAAUCUUCCCUUUAAUUUAGAAACUUUGCAUCAGGCUUUUAAGCUCUCAGGUUGCAUAAGUACGUAUUGGAUUUAUUCCACCUGAUCUAUGAACAUAAGCAUUGGACUUGAGAGCAGCCACACUAACAAGAACAGAAUAUUUUUAUAAGUGGAACAUUAACAUUGGUCAUGUGGAAUUAAAAGUUGUAGUUACUCCUUAUUGGGAGGAGCUAACUAAUCUCCUGUAGAGGUUGACCAGUGGACUGCAAGACUCUGUGCUGAACAAUGUAUUGUAGAGUGAGAAAUACCACAGAGAAAUAUAACUACAGUACAGUGCUAGUACUGUAAUGUAAUGCUAGACCCAAGUUCCAGAUCUGUAUGGGGACCUGUGCUGUUCAACCUAUUCAUAAAUGAUCUGGAAAAGUGGGUGAACAAUGAAGUGGCAAAAUUUGAAGAUGAUACAAAGUUACUCAAGAUAGUUAAGUUCAAAGCUGACUGUGAAGC